GGCAGUUUGCCUGUGUGAGACUGAAAGUAGAGAAACCAUUAUUUCUGUCUUUUUGCUACUUGAAAUUAAGUGUGGCUUUUUUUUUUGGCAAUGUUUUUUCCUUUUAUUCCUUUUAGAAAGUGCCUUGAUUGGCUUAAUAACUAACCCUUCUAACACCACACCUCUGGCUAAGUUAUUAAAAAUGAGCAUGGCAUUCGACAUAAGUUAGUUAUAAAAGAUAACUAUUGUCUUUUAGUAAAAUGUCUAAAAAUAAAUUUCAAAAUAAUCAUUAUCAUCAAGGCCUUGAAGUAAAUAUUAAAUAAAUGCUUUAACUUCUAUAAACACUAAACUCAAGUUUACUUUUUUCCUGCCUCAAAGAUUAUACCUUUGGGAGGUUUCUGCUUCUGGCCAUGACGGAAUAGUAAGGAAAACUAGAAAACUGGGCAAAAUAUAAUACAGUAGUUUUAAAACAUUGAUUAUAAGGCAAAAUAGGACUCUCAACUCUGAGAGAAAGAAAACAAAGUGAGAAUUAGCACUGCACCAAGUUACUGUCUCCAGGCAGUUUCCAGCCACUGUGCCAGGAAGGCAAACCCAGACAGAGCCUGACCUCCCCAAAUUGAAAAGAUGGAGAUCAGAAGUCAGGGAGGCCAAGAGAGCUAGAAUUUUAAGGCAGAUUACCAAACAGGAAGAGCUGCUCUGAGAGACGGCUCUGGAAUCUGGCAGCCUCUAAUCUGUACAUUUCUAAGAGGAAACUAUACCAGACUUGGGAAAGAACCACUGGAAAGGGAGAAGAAGAAAAGUUCUGGAGCUCACAGAAGGAAAAGGCUUUGUGUUCUCACCAGCAAAAGUAGAGACUCCUCCAUAAAACAUAGAACAUCAGGUAGAAUCCUCAGAAAAAUAUAUUAUGAAUAGUGCAAAAAAAGUACUGUGAUAAUGGCUGCUCUGCCCUUAAAAAAUCUUAAAAGCAGACCUCACAGAGAUCCAACUGAUUCAAAGUAACUUAGCUGCUUGUCAGAACACAAUUUGAUACUACUUAAGACAAUAUAACAAAAUCCCACAACACACAACGUAAAAAUCACAAUAAAAAUUCUAAUAAAAAUCACCAAUCAAAAUAAGGAGAAAAUAUAAACUGUCACAAAGUAAAACCUCAUGUAAUAGAAACAGACCCAGAAAUGACAAAUGAAACUAGCAGCAAAGCCAUGGAGAAAACUAUUGAAAAUAAUCUAUAAAGUAAAUAAUUGACCUUAUUCAUAUUUAUUAAACACUCCACUCAACAACAGAAUACACAUUCUUCUUCAGUACAAAAUAAAUUUUACCAAGAUUAACCAUAAUCUGGGCCUUAAAACAAGUCUCAGUAAACUUAAGAGGACUGAAAUCAUACACAUUAUAUUCUCUGGCCAUGACAGAUUCCAGCUGGAAAUCAAUAACUGGAAGAUGUGUGGAAAUUCCUCAUAUAGUUGAAUAAUAAAUAAUACAUUUACAAACCAACCACAAGUCAAAGAAGAAAUCACAAGGAUAAUUAGGAAAUAUUUUGAACUAAAUGAAAACAAAAACACAAGAUAGAAAAAAAUUUACAGUGUAUUAAAAAUAGUGCUUAAAGGGAAAUAUAUACUAUUAAAUACUUACAUUAGAAAAAAUGAGAGGGGGGUAUAGCUCAGUGGUAGAGCAUAUGUUUGGCAUGUACAAGGUCCUGAGUUCAAUCCCCAGUGCCUCCACUAAGGGGGGGAAAAAAGAAUAAAAAAUGAUAGAUCUCAGUUACCUAAUCUUCCACCUUAUUGAGCUAGAAAAAGAAGAGCAAAUUAAACUCCAAAGAUGCAGAAGAUAAAAACUAAUAAAAAACAGAAAGCAACUAAAUAGAAAAUAGGAAAACAAUAGGGAAAAACAAUGAAACCACAAUAUGGUUCUUUAAAAAGAUUUUUAAAAAAUUGGAAACCACCAAACAGACUGAUCAGAAAAGGAAAAAACAUGUCACCAGUAACAGGAGUUAAAGAAGGGAUAUCCUUACAGAUUGUACAGAUAUUAAUGCGAUAACAAGGGAAUGCUAUAAACAGAUUUUGAUGUCAAUAAAUUAAACUACAUAGAUGAAAUGUACAUGUUGAAAGAUAUAUACUAGCAAAACCACUGAAAAAGAUAAUGUGACUACCCCAUUUCAGUAAUCAGACUCUUAGUUUAAAAAAUCUUGUCCCGAAGAGAAAUCCAAGCCUAGAUGUAUUCACUGUUGAUUUCGACCAACUAUUUAAAAAAGAAAUAAGGAAAAUUCUAAAAACAAAUUAGCAAAAAUAAAAAGGAAGGACCCACUUCCCAAUUCAUUUUAUGAAAACAGCAUUGCCAAAAUAUCAAAUCACAUAAUACACUAUGAGGCAAAAAAAAACAGACUAAUAUCUUUGUGAACAGAGACACAUCCUUUUAAAAAUUAAGCAAUCUGAAUCCCACAUCAUAUAAAAGGGACAAUCUUAUGACCAAAUGAGGUUCAUUACCAAAAUGUAAGUUAGGGAUAACACUUAAAAAUAAUGUACUAUAUUGAUUAAAAAGAAAAAUCACAAUUAUUUAAAUUAGAUUCAGAAAAACAUUUGGCAAAAUUCAACGCUCAUUAAAAAAAAAAACUCACAAACUAGAAUAAAAAGAAACUUAAUCUAACAAAGGGUAUCUACAAAAACAAAAAACAAAAAACAGCAAAAAAAACUAUACUUAAUAUGAUAUGUGAAAGAUUCAAUGUCCCAGCCAGUGCAAUAAGAACAAAAAUUAAAAACAUAGAUUGGGGGGGAAAGUGAAAUAGUCUAACUGUAAUUGUUUAUGUACAAAACCACUAUUAGAACUAGUAAAUGAAUUUAGCAACACCACAGGAUACAAAGUCAGCAUAUAAAAAUCCAUUAUUUUUCUAUAUACCACCAACAGUAUCGGAAAAUAAAGUUUUAAAAAUUUAAAAAAUAGGGAAAUACUCUUUUCUACAAAUGGUGCUGGAAAAUUAAAUAUGCAUAUACAUAAAAAUUAACCUCACACCACAACCACACCAUACACAAAAUUAAUUCAAGAUAGAUCAUAUCCAUAAGUCUAAAAGUUAGAACUAUAAAUAUUUCAUAAGAAAGUAAGAAAAAAUCUUUGUGACCUUGGAUUAGGUAAAGAUACCUUAGAUAAGACAUUAUUUUAGAAAAUCUGCUUAAAGAAGAAGAAAACUGUCAAACUGGAAUUCUAUAUCAAAAAAAUAUUUAUCUACUCCAUAAAUGAAGUCAAAAUAAAGACAUAUUGAGACACCCAAAACUGAAGAAAUUAUUCUCUUGCAGAAUCUCCCUACUGGAUAUGCCGAAAGACAGAUUGGCUGAAGAGAAAUGGCACUAAAUGGAAAGCUCAGAUCUCUAGAAAGAAAUGAAGACAGGACGAGAAAAGAAAAAUGUGAAGUGACAACUGCAACAUUUCCUGGUAUGCUGUUGUGUGUCAAGCCAGGACCAGGUGGCACACAGACGAACAGGGAGCUAAAUGAUUUGCACAAGACCACACAACUUACCACACGGUAGGAUGGCGCCGUUGGGAGCCUUACCCCUUUAGGCAAUGCCAGCAUACCUUGGCAGAAGGACAUGUGUUUGGAAACACCUGCUAGAAGAUUCUAAAGAUUGUUUUGAUUCUUGGAAGAUGAAAGGUCAGAAAUAAGUUGUGGAAAAAUUCAUGAAAAUUAAUCAUUUUCAUCCUC